AACGAACGCUGGCGGCAUGCCUAACACAUGCAAGUCGAACGAGACCUUCGGGUCUAGUGGCGCACGGGUGCGUAACGCGUGGGAACCUGCCCUUAGGUUCGGAAUAACUCCCCGAAAGGGGUGCUAAUACCGGAUAAUGUCUUCGGACCAAAGAUUUAUAGCCUUUGGAGGGGCCCGCGUUGGAUUAGCUAGUUGGUAGGGUAAAAGCCUACCAAGGCGACGAUCCAUAGCUGGUCUGAGAGGAUGAUCAGCCACACUGGGACUGAGACACGGCCCAGACUCCUACGGGAGGCAGCAGUGGGGAAUAUUGGACAAUGGGCGAAAGCCUGAUCCAGCAAUGCCGCGUGAGUGAUGAAGGCCUGAGGGUUGUAAAGCUCUUUUACCCGGGAUGAUAAUGACAGUACCGGGAGAAUAAGCUCCGGCUAACUCCGUG
rnacentral:rRNA from 1 species